AGUGUAAUGCCAACAGAAACUUACCUCACCAAGCAAAACUCGAAGCAAAUUUGCUACCAUGUGUUCAGUAGGUUUCCUGUAGAACAAUCAGACGUUAGUACCGAGUCACAGUCACCCAAGAUGCAGAAAAGCCAGAUGAACAAGUCUCAGCGUAAGUUUAAUCAGAAAUCACUUCUGUCCACUACUCUUACAUAAUCAUCCUCGACUUGAAAUACUGUUGGAUAAGCAGUUGAGAAACUUACCCGAUUGAAAAUGUCAUUUCCAGCACAAAUACAAGGCAGCCACGUUACCUAAAAGAAAAUUCAGAGAUUAGAUAACUGCAUGGACUAGAAAUAAAUAAAAAGCUUGGCUCCAAUGCGUUCAGUGUGGUUGGCGUUUCAUCACAGUAAUUCAGAUGUCCCUACCAACAUGUAUAUCAUCAUUAGCUCCACUCCAAAGUAUGUUAUUAUAGUACAGGCAAGAAACCUUACCUAGUGACUGAAACCCGAUUCAUUAAAAGGUCGAGUCCCAUCACAAAGCCAACACAGGCUGGUUAACCUAAGGAAAGGCAUUUUAGAAUUUAGACCACCGUGCAUGGGGAAAAAAAAAAAAAGCUUUGCUCCCAUACGUUCAGUAUGGUUGGCGUUUCAUCACUGUAAUUCAGAUGUCCCUACCAACAUGCAUAUCAUCAUUAGCUUCCCCCGCUCAAGUAUUUCCCCCACCCCAAGUAUUUUAUAGUAGUUGAGACGAGAACCCUUACCUAGUGACUGAAAACGGAGUCAUUGCCGACAUCAUGGCGGCACUGCAGGGAAUAAGACACGCAGUAGUUAGUUAUGGCCGAUGUCUCACCAUGAGAAAGAAAUACAUUGAGCGUUAAUCCCAUGUGAUCAGACAAGAAGAAGAAAAGUUGGUAUAUCCUCAAUGAAAACUCAGAUGUCCCUACCAACAUUUAUAUCAUCAUUAGUGCAUGGGUAAGUAGCAACCAUAGUCAUCGGUACUGCAGCCAUUUGAAACUGAGACACGUGGCUGAUUGAGGCCUGGGAUUUUCAUGAACUAAACGUAAACAUCAGGCAAUAAUUCCAUGAACAGAAUAGCAUAGAAGUACUACCGACAUUAAACAACAAUACAGUCAGACAUAUUUACUUAAGUUAAAAUAGCAGUAACUAAUUAUUUUUGAGAUCAUUUAGAGGCGCACCUACUCACAGGAUGUCAAUGGGGAACUCGAGACUCAAGGAAGGGUGGAAGUCCUUUAUAUAGGGAGCCGCUGAGGAUUAUGGGUAACAGUAUGUGACAGUGUCAGUAACUGGCUCCCCUUCUG
ensembl:lncRNA